rnacentral:pre_miRNA from 1 species
AAAUAGCCCCCUAUGUUUUGAUUCUUUGGCAGUUUUGACCCCCCAAGGCAAAAUAAAAAUAAAAAAUAAAAAAUUUGACACGUGGCACCACACUUAGGGUGCCACGUCAGCGUUGACCGAGUCAACACUGGACUAGGGGUUUAAAACUGUCAAAGAAUCAAAACAUAGGGGGCUGUUU